rnacentral:rRNA from 1 species
AGUGGCGAACGGGUGAGUAACACGUGAGUAACCUGCCCUUCAGUGGGGGACAACAGUUGGAAACGACUGCUAAUACCGCAUAAGACCACAGUGCCACAUGGCACAGUGAUCAAAGGAUUAAUUUUCGCUGAAGGAUGGACUCGCGUCUGAUUAGCUAGAUGGUGAGGUAACGGCCCACCAUGGCAACGAUCAGUAGCCGGACUGAGAGGUUGAUCGGCCACAUUGGGACUGAGACACGGCCCAGACUCCUACGGGAGGCAGCAGUGGGGGAUAUUGCACAAUGGAGGAAACUCUGAUGCAGCGACGCCGCGUGAGGGAAGAAGGUUUUCGGAUUGUAAACCUCUGUCUUCGGGGACGAAACAAAUGACGGUACUCGAGGAGGAAGCCACGGCUAACUACGUGCCAGCAGCCGCGGUAAUACGUAGGUGGCAAGCGUUGUCCGGAAUUACUGGGUGUAAAGGGAGCGCAGGCGGAACUGCAAGUUGGGUGUUUAAUCUACGGGCUCAACCCGUAUCAGCAUUCAAAACUGUGGUUCUUGAGUAAUGCAGAGGUAGGCGGAAUUCCCGGUGUAGCGGUGGAAUGCGUAGAUAUCGGGAGGAACACCAGUGGCGAAGGCGGCCUACUGGGCAUCAACUGACGCUGAGGCUCGAAAGCAUGGGUAGCAAACAGGAUUAGAUACCCUGGUAGUCCAUGCUGUAAACAGUGAUUACUAGGUGUGGG